GAUGAACGCUGGCGGCGUGCCUAAUACAUGCAAGUCGAGCGAACAGACAAGGAGCUUGCUCCUCUGACGUUAGCGGCGGACGGGUGAGUAACACGUGGAUAACCUACCUAUAAGACUGGGAUAACUUCGGGAAACCGGAGCUAAUACCGGAUAAUAUAUUGAACCGCAUGGUUCAAUAGUGAAAGACGGUUUUGCUGUCACUUAUAGAUGGAUCCGCGCCGCAUUAGCUAGUUGGUAAGGUAACGGCUUACCAAGGCAACGAUGCGUAGCCGACCUGAGAGGGUGAUCGGCCACACUGAAACUGAGACACGGUCCAGACUCCUACGGGAGGCAGCAGUAGGGAAUCUUCCGCAAUGGGCGAAAGCCUGACGGAGCAACGCCGCGUGAGUGAUGAAGGUCUUCGGAUCGUAAAACUCUGUUAUUAGGGAAGAACAAAUGUGUAAGUAACUAUGCACGUCUUGACGGUACCUAAUCAGAAAGCCACGGCUAACUACGUG
rnacentral:rRNA from 1 species